rnacentral:rRNA from 1 species
AUUGAACGCUGGCGGCAUGCUUUACACAUGCAAGUCGAACGGCAGCGCGGGCUUCGGCCUGGCGGCGAGUGGCGAACGGGUGAGUAAUGCAUCGGAACGUGCCCAGUAGUGGGGGAUAGCCCGGCGAAAGCCGGAUUAAUACCGCAUACGACCUGAGGGUGAAAGCGGGGGACCGAAAGGCCUCGCGCUCUUGGAGCGGCCGAUGUCGGAUUAGCUAGUUGGUGGGGUAAAGGCUUACCAAGGCGACGAUCCGUAGCUGGUCUGAGAGGACGACCAGCCACACUGGGACUGAGACACGGCCCAGACUCCUAAGGGAGGCAGCAGUGGGGAAUUUUGGACAAUGGGGGAAACCCUGAUCCAGCCAUGCCGCGUGAGGGAAGAAGGCCUUCGGGUUGUAAACCGCUUUUAUUGGGGAGGAAAGCCAGUGGGCUAAUACCGCGGGGGGAUGACGGUACCAAAAGAAUAAGCACCGGCUAACUUCGUG